GAUGAACGCUGGCGGCGUGCCUAAUACAUGCAAGUCGAGCGAACGGACGAGAAGCUUGCUUCUCUGAUGUUAGCGGCGGACGGGUGAGUAACACGUGGAUAACCUACCUAUAAGACUGGGAUAACUUCGGGAAACCGGAGCUAAUACCGGAUGAUAUUUUGAACCGCAUGGUUCAAAAGUGAAAGACGGUCUUGCUGUCACUUAUAGAUGGAUCCGCGCUGCAUUAGCUAGUUGGUAAGGUAACGGCUUACCAAGGCAACGAUGCAUAGCCGACCUGAGAGGGUGAUCGGCCACACUGGAACUGAGACACGGUCCAGACUCCUACGGGAGGCAGCAGUAGGGAAUCUUCCGCAAUGGGCGAAAGCCUGACGGAGCAACGCCGCGUGAGUGAUGAAGGUCUUCGGAUCGUAAAACUCUGUUAUUAGGGAAGAACAUAUGUGUAAGUAACUGUGCACAUCUUGACGGUACCUAAUCAGAAAGCCACGGCUAACUACGAG
rnacentral:rRNA from 1 species